CAUAUCUACGUCUAGAAGAUGACGCGUAUAUCUUUUUAUAUACGUGGUCUUCUAAAAACAAACAAUUUGCGAGACCAAAUGGUAACGACUUGGCUACACGGCGCAAGAGGUCAAGAAGAUUUUUUUUUUUUUUUUGGUAAAAAAAGAACUUACAGAAAAAAGAAAACAAAACAAAAUAAAGUGAAUUAGACUUUGGAUGUAACAACUUCCAUCGUUGCCCCCCACUCACACCGUCGUCUCCACCUCCCUCUUCCACCGUCGUCGUCCCUCCCUUCUCCACCGUCGUCGCCGGAUCCCUUCGCAUUUGAACGAUGAAUAUUUAAAGACCAAAAGGGCUAUGGAUGUUAUUGGAAUCAGUCAUGAAUAGCAUAUUUUUUGCAUUAAUAGAAGCCUAUAUAUUCAUUGUUGUAUACUUGUUCUGCUUUUAGAUGUUUUUAGUAACAUAAUUAUAGAUGUUUUCUUUAUAUAUAAUAGUUUCUUAUAUUCUUUAAGAAGCUAUAUUUUGUCUA